GGUAAGAUGGCUGAUAAUAGGUGAUAAAUUGUAAAUUUAUUUAUGAAGUUUAUUCUUCUCUUACCA
rnacentral:tRNA from 1 species